UCGUAAGCAUCAGAAUCAUCAAGCUUCAGCUUAACUAGUUCGCUGAUAUCAUAUGGAUAAGCGUCCUUUGGUGACUGACGUUUAUAUGCUCUUUUUCCGAAGGCCCAAGCUUUAGCUUCAGUAAAAUGGGCUCCAUCCCAGUACACAUAGUCACUCCUGUUGCUACAUGGGAAGGAGAGAGAUUUACAUGGGACUGAACCAGAUUCUACAUCGCAACAGCUCUUACGGGUUUGUGUAAAACCUGCAAGCAAGAAAAAAUAACAUGGGCAUCAGAGGCGUAACAAAAAAAGUCGCCUUCAACCGUGAGAGAAAGAGAGCAAGGGAGGGAGGGGAUUCGU
rnacentral:lncRNA from 1 species